UGACAUUUAAACUAGGUUAACUGUAGGAUGUUGAUAUUUAAACUAGGUUAACUGUAGGAUGUUGACAUUUAAACUAGGUUAACUGUAGGAUGUUGACAUUUAAACUAGGCUAAUUGCAACCUUCUCCUUCCAUCAUUUUUAUUUAAGUCAGUAUACUCUGUUUGUUUUGGUGGUAAAGAUUUUAACACUUUUGUUGAGUUUUUAUUAAAGAAAUAUGACAGGACCACUAUUAGUGCAUCCGUCUGACCUUAGUAUACGGUAGAGCUUUGCUACGGAUCUAGCAUGAUCCAAACUCCUCCUAUUCAGUUGGGGUGGUCACUCACUCUUACAAAAUAUAUGCUUUUAGACUAUUCUGUUGUCAACCAAUUGAAUGGACUCAUUUUGAUUUUGACUUAAGACACUUCCUGUUUGUUCAUUGUACAGUGAUGUUACACAUAGCUCGGCCUGUUCAGAAUUGUAGCUAGUUGUCUUCAUCUGUUCGGUCUACUUAUAUAGCCAUGCCGUAUAUUUACAUGUAUUUCCCAGUCAGCUGUUGUGGUAAGCUAUGCUGAUUGAUUUUAUUUAUUGUCUCAGAGGUGAAUUUCUGUGUGUACAGCUGCUUGUUUUCAAACAUUAUUUUACUUGAACCAAAC
rnacentral:lncRNA from 1 species